GCCCAUCGGAGCGAAAAAGGGAACUGCCCCGCCCGCCAGCUAGCCGCGGGAUCACGUGCACCCUCCUCGCCAAACCAUGCCCCGCCCACCAACUGCGCCCUGGCUAUCUUCUUCUUCCUCACGAAAGAAGGAUCUGCCCAGGUUGCAGAAUCCUUCAUCGCUAGGAGAGAAGGACAACAUGGCGGCUCCCAGGAACAAAUAAGAGAAGAGAAGAGGCUUAGAGAUCACAAAAAAGACAAUAAAAAAAGUAGAUCAAAGACCAGGCAGGAUCUUCUUCUUCCUCACGAAAGAAGGAUCUGCCCAGUUUGCAGGACCUUCAUCGCCAGAACAAAAGAACAAGAGAAGAGAAGAGGGCUUAGAAAUCAAAGAGAAGACCAGAAAAAGCCAGAUCAGAAGAGAGGAGGGACGAAAAAGAAAACCUACCUUUAGGAUCCAGAGGUGAGAAGACUUGCCCAUCUUCUUCGAGAUUCUCUUUUGUAUAUCUUGCUCCUUGUAGUGAUUUCCUUGCACACAUCUUUGACUUGUAUAUUUGGUUGUCAAAAAUCAAAUGAAUCGUGCAUAGUGCGUUUGAGGAAAAAUGUGCAACCAGUAGGUUGCUUUCGUGCAACUAAGCCAAAUAAGAUAGCCAACUGAAUGAGUGUUGUGUGCCAACUCAACAGAUUAUGCAACUCUAAACCUUUUCUUGUGCAACUAACCCAGUUGUAGCAUCCAACUAUGAGGAGGCACUGUGCAACUGGAAAUAUAAAAGUGCCAGAACUGUGCAACUUUGGCAAGAACUCAUGUAUUUGGUUGUCAAAAAUCAAAUGAAUCUUGCAUAGUGUGUUUGCGGAAAAACUGUUCAACCAGUAGAUUGCUUUCGUGCAACUAAGCCAAAUAAGAUAGUCAACUGAAUGAGUGUUGUGUGCCAACUCAAUAGAUUAUACAACACUAAACCUAUUUUGUGCAACUAACCCCAUUCUAGCAUCCAACUAUAAGCAGGAACUGUGAAACUGGAAAUAUAAAAUGGGUCAAAACUGUGCAACCUUGGCAGGAACUUGAAAAAUCUGGAAGAAGACAAACAAUAUACAAUGACGAGCGAUAUACGAUAUGUUCUAAUAAAAAACAAUCUGCAAAUAUAGUUCUUAGAAAAUAGGUUCACACACUGCCAUCACAAAUUUGAAACACACUGCCAUCAAACCGUUGAUCUAAAUGUGCAAAACUAACUAAAAUAGCUAUAGACAAUUAUAGUUGAAAUCUGAUUUUGCUUCUAUCUUUGAAGUUGCUGUAGCAGACCUUGCUUGAUAUGUUCACUUGCAUUGAUCUGCAGAAAAUCAUGCCCUUCUUUUCAUGUAGCUACUGUCUGAAUCAUAGACCUGCACGUUGUAGAUAGAAAAAAUGUUCAAUAAAUUGUAGGUACUGUAUAAAUUGUAGGAUGCCAACACAGUAUUAUGUUCUCUGUGCAACUAGAAAUGCUAAGGAUGCCAACUAAAUACAUACUCUUGUGCAACUAGAGAAAGUCUUGAGUAUGUCAACUAGUUAGAAAAGUAUUGUGCAACUAGAAAUGCUAAGGAUGCCAACUAAAUACAUACUCUUGUGCAACUAGAAAAAGUCCUGAGUAUGUCAACUAGUUAGAAAAGUAUUGUGUAACUAGAAUUGCUGAGGAUGCCAACUAAUUGGAUAGUACUGUGCAAGUAUAAAGUCUGAGGGUGCCAAAGAUACUCUUUGGCAACCCUCAAUUUUUUUGGAGAUGGGACUAAAUUAUAUACUGUUGUGUAACUAGAAAAACUGAGGAUGUCAACUAGUUGUAUAUUGUUCCUUGAAACUAGAAAUGCUGAAGAUGCCAACUAAAUGGAUACUCUUGUGCAACAAGAAAUCUUGAGGAUACCAAGUCAGAAAAAUAGUUAUUCAACACUUGCAUGACGAGAGAAAAAAAAUCAUCACACCGUCACCAAACCAAAAACCGAGUUUAUAAAAAUGACGCUGAUGCUGUUGAAAAUACUAGCUGCAUUGAGUUCUCCAGAAAAAGUACUAAUCUCAACUGUAUGAUGGCCCAGACUAGAAAGAUGGACUAGGUGUACUGUUUGUGCAAAAAGAAGCACAUAUUUGUGUAACUAAAAUAUUGGUCCAAAACCAACUUUCCUGCAGCAUGUGUGCAAAAAAAAAUCUCAGACUAGAAAGAUGGACUGGGUGUACUGUUUCUGCAAAAAGAAGAACAUAUUUAUGCAACUAAGCAUGGGUCCAAGCCAACCUUUUUAUGCAAAUGUGUGCAACAAAACAGCCCAGACUGGAGUCCAUUUGUUCUAGUCUUUUGGUUGUUGGUUGCACACAUUGCAGGAAAAGAUGGUUUUGGAUCCAUGUUUAGUUGGCACAAAUAUGGGCUUCUAUUUGCAGACACUACAUUCAGUCUACCUUUUCCUGCAAAAAAUGUGUUCAACCAACACACGGACUAUAUGAAAUAGAAAACCUAAAGUCUAAAAAGUGGCCGGCCACUAAUUGACCGAAACGGGCGGCCGGCCCGUGGCCGUUCGAUCGCGCGAGCGAUCGCUCCCAGAUCCGCCAGGUGACGAGCCGACCACUACCAACCACCACUUCACUUCUCUCCCAUACAAAAAGACUGAAUUUGUUGUUUGUGCAAAUAUAAACAUAUAAUUGUGCAGCUAAACUUGUAUCCAAAGCCAACUUUUGCUGCAAAUUUGUGCAGCAAAGAAGAUGAAAUUCUAUUUCCUGUAUUAAAAGUACUAAAAACGAGACUAGAAAAAGCACAAGAACAGUAUUAAAAACGAGCAUACAAGUAGUCUUGUCUCACACAAAUUGCAAUAGGGGGAAUAUGUUCUAUAGGAUGUAUUAUAUACUAAAAAUGGAACAGAAAAGAAGAUGAAAUUCUAUUUCCUGUCAUCAGAAAACGGUGUCAAAAGUGAUCACAUUCCGACGUGAUCACCUAAGGUUUUGCAAACAAAAGGUGCCGAAGGUGAUUAGUUAACACUGCAUACAAAAUAUUUGUUCUUCUUCAGAAAAAACUGGAUAAAAAAGGUUGAUGAUGCCAACUUGAUAUUAUGUUAGUUAUGCAACUACAAAAUGCAGAGGAUGCCAACUAAAAGUAGUUACUCUUGUGCAACUAGAAAGGCUAAGGAUGUCAACUAGUUAGGUGUUAUUGUGUAACUAGAAAAUGCUCAAGAUGCCAACUAAUUAAAUACUCCUGUGCACCUAAUUAAAUACUCCUAUGCAACUAGAAAGGCUGAGGGUGCCAAGUCAUUUGAUACUCUUGGGCAACCCUCAAAAAUUUGAAGAUGGGACUAAAAAAUAGCUACUCUUGUGGCUGAGGAUGUCAAUUAAUUGGAUACAGUUUGUGCAAGUAGAAAUGAUGAGUAUGCCAACUAAUUGAAUACUCCUGUGCAACUAUAAAUCUUCAAAUAAGCAGGCCUAUUAAUCUCCUUCCCAACUGUAGAUCAAAUAAGCAGGCCUACUGCAUCAAAGCUACUCCAAAUCAGUGCAAAUCCACACUAGUGUAAUUCAAGUUUACUGCAAAUCUGCACACUGGAGUAAUUCAGAUUUACUGCAACUACUCUAAAUCACCGCAAAUCAGUGCUAUUGCUACUGCUACCUCCAGAUCAGUGCAAGGGGCUGAACUGAAUGUACUCCAUGCUUUAAUCCAUGAAAGAAAGGGGUUGAAUUGAACCAGAGGAGGAAGAGUACCUUUGGCGGCGGCGCCGUCGCCAUGGAUAUGACCGCCGACUCCGCGGCUCAGGCGCCGCUCCACAUCAAGCGUCGUUGCGUCGGCGGGGUAGCUUCAAUACUUGAGAUGCGGCUCCAGAUCCUCCCGUUCGGGCUCCACCUCCUCCCGCCGUCGUCUUCACGCCCGCGCCAGCGCUGCUCGGGCUCCGCUUCAGCGACUCCUCACGCCUAUCCACAAGCAGGUCGAGGACCAGCGCAUGUGGAUCCAGCUCCUCCUCGCCCAGCAGCGCAUCACCGGCGAAUAAAAAUGGCAGCUUUGUGUGAACCAGGGUGGUGGAGAGCGGUGAGCAGCGGUGCGGAGCAAGAUGCCGGCGAGAGGGAGAGAGAGGGCGCAUCAACGGGGAGAGAGCGGCGUCGCGCGCGCGAGAGAGAGGCGACUGGUGGCCGGCGUCGCGCAAGAGAGAGAGAGAGGCGAGCGGGGGCGUCGUGCGAGAGAGAGAGAGAGAUCGGGGGCGAGUGGGAAGCGAGUGGUCGGUGGCGUCGGGCGAGGAAGAGGGGAACGUGUCGGCGGAGGGGUAGAAUGGGAAACUCGGGGAAAACCGUAGCCUACGAAAGUUGGACGCGUGCGGCGAUUCAGGGCGGGAUCGAGCGGCCAGGAGCCGGCCGCUCGUUCCGUCUAAAUGGUGCGCGUGCACUUUUUAGAUUUUAGGUAAAAAUAUUCCAGAGAUGCUAAUCACACACUACAACUGCAACUUACGAUUAAAAGUAUGGACGUGUUGUAUACGAGUACAAGCCUAGGGAAAAAAGGGGGUUUAAAAGAGAGUAUGUAGCUAGACUGCACUAGUAAACCGUGUAUUGAACCCUAUAAUGUAAGUGUUUAUUUUACUGCCCAAUGCUCUGUCAAUUUAAAUUAACAGAAAAUAAAGAGGUCAUUUUUCUUGACAGAGCCACAUCAUAAUUAUGUGUUCGUCGAGUAUUUUUAAGCUCCUUUUCCCUUUUGGUUUUGUGUUUGUUGUACAUACACAUCUCUUUUUCUUUUGCGGAUUAUUGUAUGUUAACUAAAUAGCUACCCGAAUUACAUCUAAAUGUGACGUAAGAACUUUUAAAAUAGAGCCAUAUGUGCAGAUAAUAGAUGGUUUCCUCUUGUACACACCUGAUACUUACGUGUCACCAGUCUGUAAUGUAACUAUUUGUUUAUUUCAUUUUAGUAGAAAGAAAAAUGCAUAAUAUGUCGUGUAGCCAUUGCAGGAAAUUCGUAAAAGUAUUUUCUAUGUCAUAGGCAAGUCUAAGUGGACAAUCUUGCUUCUCCCCCUGAAAGCCACUAUCUAUGCUUUUCAGUGCAUGACACAUCUCCUGGUCCUACUUCGACAACAAGAGGUAGUACAAUUUGCUGACCUUCAUCGUCACUAGAAGCAUACACGCGCCUUGCCGUGUCGUUCUACUUUUCUACCGUUUAUUUGUUUGUUACUGAUGUGUUAACAACAUUGCCAAAAACAUGUCCAAAAUAGUGGUUGGUGUUAGGGAUCGUAGCAGAAAUUUAAAAUUUUCUAUGCAUCACCAAGAUCAAUCUAUGGAUUCAUCUAGCAACGAGAGAGAGAGGAGUGCAUCUACAUAUCCUUGUAGAUCGCGAGCGGAAGCGUUCAAGAGAACGGGGUUGAUGGAGUCGUACUCGUCGUGAUCCAAAUCACCGAUGAUCCUAGCGCCGAACGGACGACACCUCCGCGUUCAACACACGUACAGAGCGGAGACGUCUCCUCCUUCUUGAUCCAGCAAGUGGGAGGAGAAGUUGAUGGAGAUCCAGCAGCACGAUGGCGUGGUGGUGGAAGCAGCGGGAUUCCAGCAGGGCUUCGCCAAGUGCUACUGGAGGAGGAAGAGGUGUCAUGGAGGGAGAGGGAGGCGCCAGGGCUUAGGGUGCGGCUGCCCUCCCUCCCCUCCACUAUAUAUAGGGGCUAGGGGGCGCAUGCCCCCUUGGAGAUCCCAUCUAGAGGGGGGGGCGGCCCCCGGGGCGGCGGCCCCUUGGGGGGCAACAGCCCCCUUAUGAUUUCCAACCAGGGGGCGCAUGCCCCCUCGGGGGGCAACGGCCCCCUAGGGUUUCCAACCCUAGGCGUCUUGGGCCCUUGAGUGUGGCGCACCAGCCCACCAGGGGCUGGUUCCCAUGCUACUUCAGUCCAUGGGGCCCUCCGACAUAGGUGGCCCCACCCGGUGGACCCCCGGGACCCUUCCGAUGGUCCCGGUACAAUACCGGUGACCCCCGAAACUCUCCGGUGGCCGAAACUGGACUUCCUAUAUAUAAAUAUUUAUCUCCGGACCAUUCCGGAACUCCUCGUGACGUCCGGAAUCUCAUCCGGGACUCCGAACAACUUUUGGUUAACCGCAUACUAAUAUCUCUACAACUCUAACGUCACCGAACCUUAAGUGUGUAGACCCUAUGGGUUUGGGAGACACGUAGACAUGACCGAGACAACUCUCCGGUCAAUAACCAACAGUGGGAUCUGGAUACCCAUGUUGGCUCCCACAUGCUCCACGAUAAUCUCAUCGGACUAACCACGAUGUCGAGGAUUCAAUCAAUCUCGUAUACAAUUCCCUUUGUCAACCGGUAUGUUACUUGCCCGAGAUUCGAUCAUCGGUAUCCAAUACCUCGUUCAAUCUCGUUACCGGCAAGUCACUUUACUUGUUCCAUAACACAUUAUCCCGUGAUCAACCCUUAGUCACAUUGAGCUCAUUACGAUGAUGUCUUACCGAGUGGGCCCAAAGAUACCUCUCCGUCAUACGGAGUGACAAAUCCCAGUCUCGAUUCGUGCCAACCCAACAGACACUUUCGGAGAUACCCGUAGUGCACCUUUAUAGCCACCCAGUUAUGUUGUGACGUUUGGCGCACCCAAAGUAUUCCUACAGUAUCCGAGAGUUGCACAAUCGCAUGGUCUAAGGAAAAGAUACUUGACAUUAGAAAAGCUUUAGCAUACGAACUACACGAUCUUGUGCUAUGCUUAGGAUUGGGUCUUGUCCAUCACAUCAUUCUCCUAAUGAUGUGAUCCCGUUAUCAAUGACAUCCAAUGUUCAUGGUCAGGAAACCGUAACCAUCUAUUGAUCAACGAGCUAGUCAACUAGAGGCUCACUAUGGACAUGUUGUGGUCUAUGUAUUCACACAUGUAUUACGAUUUCCGGAUAACACAAUUACAGCAUGAACAAUAGACAAUUAUCAUUAACAAGGAAAUAUAAUAAUAAUCAUUUUAUUAUUGCCUGUAGGGCAUAUUUCCAACAGUCUCCCACUUGCACUAGAGUCAAUAAUCUAGUUACAUUGUGAUGAAUCGAACACCCAUAGAGUUCUGGUGUUGAUCAUGUUUUGCUCGAGGAAGAGGUUUAGUCAACGGAUCUGCGACAUUCAAGUCCAUAUGCACUUUACAAAUAUCUAUGUCUCCAUUUUGAACAUUUUCACGAAUGGAGUUGAAGCGACGCUUGAUAUGCCUGGUCUUCUUGUGAAACCUGGGCUCCUUGGCAAGGGAAAUAGCUCCAAUGUUGUCACAGAAGAGAGUCAUCGGGCCCGACGCAUUGGGAAUAACUCCUAGGUCGGUAAUGAACUCCUUCAUCCAGAUUACUUCAUGUGCUGCCUCCGAGGCUGCCAUGUACUUCGCUUCACAUGUAGAUCCCGCCACGACGCUUUGCUUGCAACUGCACCAGUUGACUGCCCACCAUUCAAAAUAUACACGUAUCCGGUUUGUGACUUGGAGUCAUCCAGAUCUGUGUCGAAGCUAGCAUCGACGUAACCCUUUACGACGAGCUCUUCGUCACCUCCAUAAACGAGAAACAUAUCCUUAGUCCUUUUCAGGUACUUCAGGAUAUUCUUGACCGCUGUCUAGUGUUCCAUGCCAUGAUUACUUUGGUACCUUCCUACCAAACUUACGGCAAGGUUUACAUCAGGUCUGGUACAUAGCAUGGCAUACAUAAUAGACCCUAUGGCCGAGGCAUAGGGGACGACGCUCAUCUUUUCUCUAUCUUUUGUCGUGGUCGGGCAUUGAGCCGUGCUCAAUCUCAUACCUUGCAAUACAGGCAAGAACCCCUUCUUGGACUGAUCCAUAUUGAACUUCUUCAAUAUCUUGUCAAGGUACGUGCUCUGUGAAAGACCAAUGAGGUGUCUCGAUCUAUCUCUAUAGAUCUUGAUGCCUAAUAUAUAAGCAGCUUCUCCAAGGUCCUUCAUUGAAAAACACUUGUUCAAGUAGGCCUUUAUGCUUUCCAAGAAUUCUAUAUCAUUUCCCAUCAAUAGUAUGUCAUCCACAUAUAACAUGAGAAAUGCUACAGAGCUCCCACUGACUUUCUUGUAAACACAGGCUUCUCCAUAAGUCUGUGUAAACCCAAACGCUUUGAUCAUCUCAUCAAAUCGAAUGUUCCAACUCCGAGAUGAUUGCACCAGCCCAUAGAUUGAGCGUUGGAGCUUGCACACCUUGUCAGCAUUCUUAGGAUUGACAAAACCUUCUAGCUGCAUCAUAUACAGUUCUUCCUUAAGGAAACCAUUAAGGAAUGCCGUUUUGACGUCCAUUUGCCAUAUCUCAUAUCAUAGAAUGCGGCAAUUGCUAACAUGAUUCGGACGGACUUCAGCUUUGCUACAGGUGAGAAAGUCUCAUCGUAGUCAACCCCUUGAACUUGUCGAUAACCCUUAGCGACAAGCCGAGCCUUAUCGAUGGCCACAUUACCAUCCGCGUCUGUCUUCUUCUUAAAGAUCCAUUUAUUUUCUAUGGCUCGCCGAUCAUCGGGCAAGUCAGUCAAAGUCCAUACUUCCAUUUCAUACAUGGAUCCUAUCUCGGAUUUCAUGGCUUCCAGCCAUUUGUCGGAAUCUGGGCCCGCCAUCGCUUCUUCAUAGUUCGAAGGUUCACCAUUGUCUAACAACAUGAUUUCCAGGACAGGGUUGCCGUACCACUCUGGUGCAGAACGUGCCCUCGUGGACCUACGAAGUUCAUAGCAACUUGAUCUGAAGUUUCAUGAUCAUCAUCAUUAACCUCCUCUCUAGUCGGUGCGGGCGCCACAAAAACAUUUUCUUGAGCUGCGCCACUCUCCGUUUCAAGAGGCAAUACUUCAUCAAGUUCUACUUUCCUCCCACUUACUUCUUUCGAGAGAAACUCUUUCUCUAGAAAGGAUCCAUUCUUGGCAACAAAGAUCUUGCCUUCUGAUCUGAGGUACAAGGUAUACCCAAUAGUUUCCUUAGGGUAUCCUAUGAAGACGCAUUUUUCCGAUUUGGAUUCGAGCUUUUCAGGUUGAAGUUUCUUGACAUAAGCAUCGCAUCCCCAAACUUUCAGAAACGACAGCUUAGGUUUCUUACCAAACGACAAUUCAUACGGUGUCGUCUCAACGGAUUUCGACGGAGCCCUAUUUAAAGUGAAUGUGGCAGUCUCUAUAGCAUAACCCCAAAAUGACAGCGGUAGAUCGGUAAAAGACAUCAUAGAUCGUACCAUAUCCAAUAGAGUGCGAUUACGAUGUUCGGACACACCAUUACGCUGAGAUGUUCCAGGCAGCGUGAGUUGUGAAACAAUUCCACAUUUCCUUAAGUGCGUGCCAAAUUCGUGACUCAAAUAUUCUCCCUCGCGAUCUGAUCGUAAGAACUUGAUUUUCCUGUCACAUUGAUUCUCAACCUCACUCUGAAAUUCCUUGAACUUUUCAAAGGUCUCAGACUUGUGUUUCAUUGAGUAGACAUACACAUAUCUACUCAAGUCAUCAGUGAUGGUGAGAACAUAACGAUAGCCACUGCGAGCCUCGACGCUCAUUGGACCGCACACAUUAGUAUGUAUGAUUUCCAAUAAGUUGGUUGCUCGCUCCAUUGUUCCGGAGAAUGGAGUCUUGGUCAUUUUGCCCAUGAGGCAUGGUUCGCACGUGUCAAAUGAUUCAUAAUCAAGAGACUCCAAAAGUCCAUCUGCAUGGAGUUUCUUCAUGUGUUUGACACCAAUGUGACCAAGGCGGCAGUGCCACAAGUAUGUGGGACUAUCAUUAUCAACCUUACAUCUUUCGGCAUUCACACUAUGAAUAUGUGUAACAUCACGUUCGAGAUUAAAUAAGAAUAAAUCAUUGACUAGCGGGGCAUGACCAUAAAACAUGUCUCUUAUAUAAAUAGAACAACCAUUAUUCUCAGAUUUAAAUGAGUAGCCACUCGCAUUAAACGAGAUCCGGAUACAAUGUUCAUGCUCAAAGCUGGUACUAAAUAACAAUUAUUGAGGUUUAAAACUAAUCCUGUAGGUAAAUGUAGAGGUAGCGUGCCGACGGCGAUCACAUCGACCAUGGAACCAUUCCCGACGCGCAUCGUCACCUCGUCCUUCGCCAGUCUCUGCUUAUUCCACAGCUCCUGUUUUGAGUUGCAAAUAUGAGCAACUGCACCGGUAUCAAAUACCCAGGAGCUACUACGAGCGCUGGUUAGGUACAUGAUUCGUCUCCGUCGUAUCUACUUUUCCAAACACUUUUGCCCUUGUUUUGGACUCUAAUUUGUAUGAUUUGAAUGGAACUAACUCGGACUGACGCUGUUUUCAGCAGAAUUGCCAUGAUGUUGUUUUAUGUGCAGAAAACAAAUAUUCUCGGAAUAACCUGAAACUCCAUGGAACAUCUUAGAAAAAUAAAAAAUCAUCGCCAAAGAUGAAGACCAGGG
rnacentral:lncRNA from 1 species